GGCGGCGGCGGUGGUGGUGCAAUCAUUUCGAUUCAACCAACCAUCUGGAUUCUUGAGCAGAUCGGUUGCAACUGAGACGAGAUCCUAGCAGUACAUGGUGGUCAAGGUUGGUUCCGACAACCCGAUUCCGAUUUAGCGGCCGCAUGUAUAUUUUUCGAGAACAAAGUUCUGGAGGCUUUAAUGAUGA